ensembl:lncRNA
CUUGGCUGAGUCACUCUCUCCCUGGAUUCGUCGCUCUCCAGACUUCAGGGCUCCAGCUUUCUUUGCAACGAAACCGUUGGCUCACCUGGUAAGGAAACCUCACCUCUGAUGAGGUCUCAGCAUUGGAACCCAGAACAAUACACAGUUAUGCACUUAAAGCUCAAAAAAGGAUGCAGAACAGUAUGUGUAGCAUCAAGCCACCAUCCUUAGCCCCUUAAGGCAUCUCCCAGAGGGCUCCCAAAACACUGCUACUGAGAGACAGAGUCCUGGAUUAGGCUGCAAACUGGAUGGAAGAUUGAAUCUUGAUUUUGAUGAUUAAUGUCAACCAAGAACCUAAAAUGUUUGAGGGAAGUAAUGAAGCCUCCAUGAAAAUCCAAAAGGAAUGGGUUUGAGGAGCUUUCAGGUGACUGAGUUGGACCAUAAAG